GACGAACCGUACGAACGUUAUUCGGAAUCACUGGGCUUAAAGGGUGCGUAGGCUGCGCAGCAAGUUGGGUGUGAAAUCCCUCGGCUUAACCGAGGAACUGCGCCCAAAACUGCUGUGCUCGAGGGAGAUAGAGGUGAGCGGAACUUAGGGUGGAGCGGUGAAAUGCGUUGAUAUCCUAAGGAACACCGGUGGCGAAAGCGGCUCACUGGCUCGUAACUGACGCUCAGGCGCGACAGCGUGGGGAUCAAACAGA
rnacentral:rRNA from 1 species